UUAGACAGCUAGGAUGUUGGCUUAGAAGCAGCCAUCAUUUAAAGAAAGCGUAAUAGCUCACUAGUCGAGUCGGCCUGCGCGGAAGAUGUAACGGGGCUGAAAUAUAGCACCGAAGCUGCGGCAUCAGGCGUAUCACUAAUACGCCUUACGAUUAACAAGCUAGAAUGGCGCGAAGCGUCAUGAAAGGUUGUUCAAGCAACCCGAACGUUGAGUCGGGCAUCUUAGAGUAAGGAUGAUUAGUGAUACGCCUGUUGGGUAGGGGAGCGUUGUGUAAGCGGAAGAAGGUUCAUCGAGAGGUGGGCUGGACGUAUCACAAGUGCGAAUGCUGACAUAAGUAACGAUAAAACGGGUGAAAAACCCGUUCGCCGGAAGACCAAGGGUUCCUGUCCAACGUUAAUCGGGGCAGGGUGAGUCGGCUCCUAAGGCGAGGCUGAAAAGCGUAGUCGAUGGGAAACAGGUUAAUAUUCCUGUACUUGGUAAAGCUGCGAUGUGGGGACGGAGUAGGUUAGGUUAUCGCACUGUUGGAUAUGUGCGUUUAAGUUGGUAGGUGGGAAGUUUAGGCAAAUCCGGACUUCUACUUAACACAGAGAGAUGAUGACGAGGCUCUACGGAGCUGAAGUAACUGAUACCACACUUCCAGGAAAAGCCACUAAGCGAAAGGCUUUACUAAACCGUACUGAAAACCGACACAGGUGGUCAGGUAGAGAAUACUCAGGCGCUUGAGAGAACUCGGGUGAAGGAACUAGGCAAAAUAGCACCGUAACUUCGGGAGAAGGUGCGCCGGC
rnacentral:rRNA from 1 species